rnacentral:rRNA from 1 species
UGGGGAAUAUUGGACAAUGGGCGAAAGCCUGAUCCAGCCAUGCCGCGUGUGUGAAGAAGGCCUUCGGGUUGUAAAGUACUUUCAGCGGGGAGGAAGGGAGUAAAGUUAAUACCUUUGCUCAUUGACGUUACCCGCAGAAGAAGCACCGGCUAACUCCGUGCCAGCAGCCGCGGUAAUACGGAGGGUGCAAGCGUUAAUCGGAAUUACUGGGCGUAAAGCGCACGCAGGCGGUUUGUUAAGUCAGAUGUGAAAUCCCCGGGCUCAACCUGGGAACUGCAUCUGAUACUGGCAAGCUUGAGUCUCGUAGAGGGGGGUAGAAUUCCAGGUGUAGCGGUGAAAUGCGUAGAGAUCUGGAGGAAUACCGGUGGCGAAGGCGGCCCCCUGGACGAAGACUGACGCUCAGGUGCGAAAGCGUGGGGAGCAAACA